rnacentral:tRNA from 3 species
AGUCCCGAGGUGUUUUACAUAUUAGAUUGCAAAUUUAAAGAAGCAAGUUAGACGCUUGCCGGGACUU